UUAGGAAUAUUCGUCAAUGGGGGAAACCCUGAACGAGCAAUGCCGCGUGAGUGAUGAAGGUCUUAUAGAUUGUAAAACUCUGUUGUAAAGGAAGAACGACUAUUAUAGGGAAUGAUAAUAGGGUGACGGUACUUUACCAGAAAGCCCCGGCUAACUACGUGCCAGCAGCCGCGGUAAUACGUAGGGGGCGAGCGUUAUCCGGAUUUAUUGGGCGUAAAGGGUGCGUAGGCGGUUUAUUAAGUUUAAAAUAAAAGCCCGAAGCUUAACUUCGGUUCGUUUUAAAAACUGGUAGACUUGAGUAUAGUAGAGGCAAGUGGAAUUUCUAGUGUAGCGGUUAAAUGCGUAGAUAUUAGAAGGAACACCAGUGGCGAAGGCGACUUGCUGGGCUAUUACUGACGCUGAGGCACGAAAGCGUGGGGAGCAAAUAGG
rnacentral:rRNA from 1 species